GGACCAGCUAAUAGAAGGAAGACGCAAAGAUGGAGAACGGGUCGCACACUGACAAGGGAUGGAACACGUGGGAUACCAGCCCCGCCCUUUUCAAGGCCGGCCAAUCGGCGUGCUUCUAUCGGCACCGCAAAGCGAUCUGUUCCAAUCAGUGGGCAGGAAGGGUAUGGCAGAAUGAAAUGAAAUGGGAGGUACGAUGGAGACUCUGGAAAGAAUGGCAGGGUGCAGAGCUGAAUCAGUGACCAGAAGCCACUCAGAGACACCAACACAGGCCAGACAAGCUCUGUGCCCAGGAUCUCUCUGGAGUUAAAGAAAAAAAA